CUUUAUUUUAUAUUGUUAACAUUUUUUAAAUGUUGUGUGUCCUAUUACAUAGAAAUAUCUGGUAAACUUAAGUAAAGUGAGGAAACAACGACAUAUCAAGCAAUGGGAGACGAAUAUGUUACACCGACAAGCGACGUUUCAAAAGUCAAUAACAGUGACCCGGGAAGCAACCUUACGACGGUCGAUAACGUUAAACUAGCAAGUGAUAAUACGAAGGACAAUAACGAAAAAAAGAUCGAGUAUGCUCAAGCAAGAGCCUUAGCAGAAAUUUUUAAGAGCAUCGAUCCAGGGACACUUGAUGUAAGUGGAUGAGUAUUAAAAGUUAUGCUGUUGUUAUUAGAGAAAGAGAUAUGCAAGCCUGAAGAUAAGAAGGAUCUAAUGCUGCUGUUAAGGAACAGCUUAUUGUUUUUUUUAUUCUCAACACGGUUUUUUUUUUUAUUUAAUAAAGUGUGUGCAGCGAACAUCCUUAA